rnacentral:piRNA from 1 species
UAGAUGCUUAGAGAUAGGUUUUUGAUGUAC